AAAGAGUUCCACAUCCGUCAACAAAACCAUGCCUCAUCCAACGGAAAAAGAAGCUGCCAAAAAAGAGCAGCCGGAUGGAUAUCACCAGUUUGUCGAGAUUCACGGACCUCAGCUUUUGAAUUCAGGUGUUCCAGAUUUUUACUGGCCGAAAUUAUAUGAAAAGUUGAGCAACGAGACAUUUGAUGCUGGAGAAUAUUUCAAACUUCUGUGUGUGCAAAGUGGGGAUGAAAACAAAUGGAAAGUGGAAACCAUCCAACCUAUAGAGAGCAAGCACCCUAACAGCAUCUUUCUGGUGGACCACGCCUGGACGUACAGAGUCUCAGACUGCCGGCCUCAGCUGGAGCAGAUUCCUGGUCUCUUGGAAAGAAUGGCUGCUUUGAUGGACAUCCAAUCAGAAGAGAGUUCAAAGGAAGAGGUCAUCGAAGACAUCUUACAAAAGAUGUGGAAGUUCAAUCAGACUUACAGGAUCGGCAAUGCUACAUUUGGAUCAGAUGAAUCAAUGCCCAUCUGGUAUAUCAUGGACGAGUUUGGUUCUCGCAUCCAACACUCAGAUUCACCCACGGUGAAAAUGUCCCCAUUUUUCUUUGCCCCUCUUCAGAUUUCCUUUACCUUAAUGUGGCCUCUUCAAGAUUUGGAAGAGAAUGAUGAAAUAACCCGAGAUUUUGUACCAAAUGUGGGAGAUCCUGAAACCAGAAAGGCCAAACUUAUUCCCUGGGUUCCUGCAGAUAUGACAGAUGUCGACUACUUUCAGAAAGAACCAGACGUCUCUUUCUUUCAGAGAGUGUCCCUGACCCAGACCACAAGUUCAGAGGUCUCCCCAAGGACAGGAACCCCAGGGUGUACCUGAAGUACAUGAGCUUCCACCAGUACCUCACCGACAAAAGAUUUGAUUUGGUGGAAACCAUGGAGGAGGCCGAUAUCAUAUUUAUCCAGAGACACUUCAAAGACUUUGACAAGUACCCAGACACUUGCGUGAAUCAGUUUCCGUUUGAGCGUGUCAUCACGGUAAAGGACCUGCUUGCUGUGGUGUGUCGCCGCGCUGGCGACGGGAAGGAGGAUCCAGACACCCUCGAGAGGAAUCCAAAAUGGCUGCCAGUAACCUAUAAUCUGGAGACAGAAAUUUCAAAAUUUGUCUCUUAUUUUCAGCAACGAGAGAACAAAGCACUUGACAACCACUGGAUAUGCAAGCCAUGGAAUCUAGCUCGUGGCUUAGACAUGCAUGUUACAAACAACCUUGACUACAUUCUCCGGCUGCCUGAGAGCGGACCAAAGGUCGCCUGUAAAUACGUACACGACCCAGUUCUGUUUACGAGAGAGGACAUCGGCAAUGUCAAGUUUGAUAUCCGCUACAUCGUCAUGUUGUCCAGUGUCUCACCUCUCAAGCUCUAUGUGUACAGGGUCUUCUGGCUGAGGUUCUCCAACAGACCUUUCUCAUUGGACCACUUUGAUGACUAUGAGAAACAUUUUACUGUGAUGAACUAUGUAGAAGAGGGGCAAAAACUAAAGCAGGUGAACUAUGAUGAAUAUAUCCCUAUGUUUGAGUCGCAGUAUCCUGCUUACAAAUGGGCUGAGGUGGAGGAGGACAUUUUCCAGAUGUUUCGAGAAAUGUUCCAGGCAGCUACUGCCCUGCCCAGCCCCCAGGGCAUCUCCAACUGCCCCCAGGCUCGGGCCAUGUAUGCCAUUGACCUACUUCUAGAGUGGAGGAAGAACUCUAAAGGGGAGAGAACGAUUCAGCCAGUGAUCUGUGAGGUGAACUUUUGUCCGGACUGUGAUAGGGCCUGUAAAUACCACCCUAACUUUGUGAAUGACGUCUUUAGCACCCUAUUCAUGGACGACAUUGAAGGCAGACCAGUGACACAGCUGCUGUAACAACUCACAAAGCAUUGCCAAGUUUUAUAUAAUAAUCCCAAACAAUACUAUGGGAUCAUAAAAUUUUGUGGGGGAUAAUUCCUGUGCAUUUUACAGGUUCAUGUAUUGGGGGGGGGGUUAGGAUGGGAAUUUCACAGUAUAAAUGUCCAAUUGUAAGAGAAAACUACAAAGACUGUUGACCAUGGCUUAAGUUAUCAAAUGUACAAUUGACCAAAAAAUGAUGCCUGGAAAGGUAUAUAUUUUGUAUACUCAUUUGAGAGGUAUGAGUACCGGGGUAUGUAGUUUCUAAAAAUAUAUAUUUUUCCCACCAAAUCACUACAAGGAAAUAACCUUUUUAUUUUAUUUGAAAUGAAGGGUAUUCAAAACAUUAUAUUAAUGUUUGUAAAAAUAAUUUGAAACCAAACAUAUUAAGAUGUAUUUCCUGUAAUGUUUAUCCGUUUAAGGGAAUGUCACUAUGGUGUUAUGACAACACAACAAUGUUUUGUAGUCAAGUUCCCCUCUCUAUUCAAAACUUAAUGUGAUGAAUAUUGAUCUGUGGGGGGUUUUUUUGUGUGAAAAAUUUCAUUUUAAAUUUGAAAUUAAAUACUCUAUGCACUUC
rnacentral:misc_RNA from 1 species